CUCCAGCCCCUUCCCCAGCUCUGUUCCCUUGUCUCAACUUGCUCCAGCACCUCAAGGGCUUUCUUGUCAUGAGGGGCCCAAAACUGACCCCAGGAUUCAUGGUGCUUUGGGGUGAAACAUGGGAAAAUCCCACUGAUGCUCAGUGCAGUAGCCCACAGAACCAGGGUUUAGGCUGCACUGUGUUAGGAGGUAGCGAGGUCUUGCAGCUAAAGCAGAGCUUUGCAAGGUGGUGAUGCCGGCUGCUUUGCUGCCAGGGGUGUCCAUUCUCUUUCUCCAUUGUCUUUCAAAACAGAUGAUCGAAAACCUUUUAGUGCAAAGCCUUCAGAUUUGUCCAGCUGCGGCAAUCCCUGCUCAGCUUCAGUGUGUCCAGGAUGCAACCAAAGGCCAAAGCGAAGGUACUGGGUAUCGCUGCACCGGGACAGCAUCCCGCCCCAGUGCUGGCAGCUAUUGCAACACCAUUCCAGUACCUGUGAAGCGAGACCCCAAAACAUCUGGCAGAGGCUGUUUUGCCCCCCCAGUUUCUGCCAUGUGGGCCGGUAAUCGGUUUCGUAGCCCCAUCAAGUGUCUGCCAAGUGAACUGCAUUGCUGGCUCCCAGCUUGCUGGCCCCAGGGUCAGGCCGCGCUUGGCCCGGUGUUGCACAUUUAAGCAAAAUAUGCGGCUGCUGGUGCCUUCAAAGCUGGGAUGUGUACCCAGGAAAAAUCCCCAGCAAAUGUGGCUGCAUCUGCUGCAUCUCUCCACUCUUCAGAUUCUCUGAUGUGUAAUAUGGGGUGCCCAGCCAUACCUCAGGCCUUCGGGGCUCUCUCUCUACUAAAUGCUCCUAUAUUUCCUAAGGAUUGCAGGAAGGAGACAUGUUGAAAUCCCUUUAUUCCUCCCUCCAGACACAGGGUAUCUCCGGAAUACUUUUCCUCUUGCCCUAUCAUAAGCAUCUAAGAAAACCCAGGGGACUCAUUGCUGUUCUUCAUUUGGGAUGUGGGGGAUAUUUGGCUUUAAAGUCUCUAAACUUAAAUAGAUGGACCCCACCACUAAAUAAUUUCAUUUCAUCCUUCUCUGAAUGACUUACAAUUGAAAUUGGAAGACUCCCACAGAGAAACAUGACCGUGAUUUGUUUUAUUUUUUAUUCCUUUUUCCCUUGCAGGAGCCUGAACUUCCCAAAUCUGUUUUAUAGCAGCACUGGGAUGCUGCUGGGAAGAGAUGCUCCUCGGCUCCUCUUUCGGCUUGAAGGCAAGGCUGAGUCAUGGUGUGCACAGACAGAGCUGCAGACAGGGCCCUGGGCAGUAACAAAACAUCUGUCCUUUGUGGCCACAUCCCAGAUAUCCUUCUGGAGCUGGUUGGUACGAUGCUCGAGGAUGUUUUCUUGUUGGAGAGGAUGCAGUGCUAAUGGGGACUGAGCCCAGUUCCCCCCUUUUACUCCCCCACCAGCACAACUGGUGAAGCAAAUCUCUGCACUGGGGGAUUUGCUGUACCAAGCAUCUGCCCAGCAAGUGUGGGUCCUGCUGGGGCCCAUUUGUGGGUCCACAGGAACCGCCAAGCAUAAGAACAGGCAUCAGCCCGUGGCCAAGCAUCGGUGAUGUGCAUCUUCUUGGGCAAAGCAGAGCAUCAGCUGUGACACCCAGUGCUAUUUCUGACAGUCCUCUGAAAGCUGUUUGCAGGUUUAUUCCAGCCCUGGGGUUUUUCCACACGUUGUGGCUUCCUGCAAGCCCCUGGGGAAGGGGCUGCACACAGAACCUGGCUGUGCAGGCUGGCUCAUGGGGAGAGGGCUCUGGAGUUCCCAACAGCAAGAAAUGCCAGUCCUGAUACUGGGAAGUGCUUGCAAAACCCUAAAGCCUUGUGUGUGUCCUAGCUGGAGAUGCAAGCAGAGCUUGCAGGGUGAUUUUCCUCCCGCAGAUCGAGUGGAUACAUGUGUUUGUUCCCUGCAGCAUGCCAUGUUCAUCCAUCAGCACCGUGCAGGUAGGCGAUGUGCUCAGCUGCAUCCCCAGGCUGGUGUUUUAUGAGCCAUUUCUGCAGUUUCCUCAUGAAAUGGGAACAUUUUGGGAUGCGACCGCAGGACAGAAACCCAGGGGGGCCCAGGUGAGAUGUGUGGCUUCUUGUGUCACCUCUGCACAAGGUCACCUUGUCCAGCCUUUAGCUAUUAAUCAGAGAUAAACACCUCUCCUCCUCCCCGGGGACUAGGCAUUCAGGAUACGAGAAGCCCUACAAAUAAGAAAUACAGGGACGCGGCACAAAAAAAUGAAGGUUCCCACAGGAUUACUGUGGGGCUGGCAGCCAACAAAGCUGGUUCCGUGCUGAAAGGAGGCAAAAUUGAGCGGUUUUCCUUGGCUGGCCUCUCCUCCUGACACUGUGUGUGCCAUUUCCAGGCAGGGUCCUUUGACAGGGCAGGGGACAGGAGGGACAGGCAGGGUCACCGCUCACUGCCCGUGGGCUCCUGGCUUUGCUGUCACUCAGUGCUGGAGAUGGGUCUGAAAUGACCUUUCCCCAUUGUAGCUCUGUGCUGUGGUUGCUUUCACCUGUGGGUUUUGGCAUCCAGUCCCUCCCAGUUCCCACAGAGGGGAUGCUUGGAGAGAAGCCGGUCCCCAAAGCAGGUGAGGAAAAGGAUGCUCAAACAAGCUUUGCUGGGAGGCCAAGUUUCCCAAGAUGGCACUGUGGUGUUUUUUUUUAUCAGCUGUCACUGCCAGCAGAAAGGGGAAAAAAAAAAGCACUCCCGAAUAACAUGCAUCUGGUGCAACUGCGCAGGGCAAAUAUUUGACGUGCUGAAUAAAUGAGCAGGAGGGAAACGUCAGGCUCCUGCACCGGGGAGCUCUGACUCAUGUUCUCACAGCAAGCGGCACUUCAGACACCUUCCCUGCAGACAGCUGCCAAAUGUCCCUUUCCCCAGAGUGUGUCACACAGAGGCGAAUGCACCCACACCUCCACUCCCAGCCAGGGAUCCUCACACAGCCCCAGCACAGGGGGGCAAUUAAUAGCUCAUGGGUGAUGGAGAGGUGGCAGCAGAGCAAGGGGGCUGUCCGGGAGGGUGCUCCUGGAUUGCACCCGCUGGUUUGGACCCCAUGUCCCCUCUGCUCUUUAGGGAUGCUGAGCUAUGAUUCAGUCAUCUCCCAGACUUAAGAUGCUCUUAUUGAACAAACAGCCACCUCGCUGUCGGCUUGGUGGGCUUUACCUCCUGGCUCUGACUCAGGUUUCAGGUGAAAAUAACUAGACAAAUCCACUCCCGUCCCCGCCCCGACAUGCAUUUUAAGCUUGUGCAAAAGCAGCAGCGUUUUUCUGGCCGGUUACUUGUGGCUGCUGGAGUGGAAAGCUCGUUCGUGCAGCAAGAGUGAGCGUUUAAGCCGAGCACUGGGGGUUUUUCUGCCCGUCUGAUUGCAGCCGCAGGGGAAAAAAACAGAAGAUGUUGACUGAGCGCUUCUUUCCUAUCAGGGCGGCGUUUUGUGCAUGGGAGGGGCCGACCUGCAAUUCAAUCUCCAGCACAAAAACCUUUGGGUACAAUACUGCCUUGUGUCCUCCCGCUGCAGACGAGCCACCCGGUGCGGCUGCGACAGGGACAGGCUGUCCCAGCCUCGUGCUGGCGCUGGUGGCACCGGAGGGGACAGCUGGUACCUCCGAGGACAGCGAGUAUUUUUGCGCUGUGUGGUUUCGCAGCGUGCGUGCGACUGUGAAUUGUCCUCCCCCCGCCGGCUGCGUCCUGAGGUUUGUGGAUAUGAAAGUCCACAUGUCUCUUUUCUUCUUUUUAAUUGCUAUAAUUUGUCCAGCUCUUACCCAUGGGCAGGAGCAAGGCUUGGCUUGCCGCUCCCUCGGUGGAUUUCUUUCGGUUUUGAUGCUAUGCAAAAAAACCCCAAAAUCCAAAACCCCAAUUAUGUUGUGCCCUGUACAUGGAUCCCACGCAUGGGUAAUUUUGGGUGGUGGAGUGAUUUCCUUGCCCCCAGUGGGACUUCUCUGGUGAAUAAAGCUACGUGGGACCCGAGUCAAAAAACCCACAGCCUGGGAGAUUUCUGCAGAGCAGGAAAGGAGAUCGCUCCUCGCAGGGGAACAGCGGGGCUGAUCGCUGUUCUCAUUGCAGGCGGAGGGCUGGGCUGGUGCUAAUUAGCCGGCGGCUGAUGGAGGGCAGAGUGCGAGAGCUCACUAAUUGCCUGGGAGCAGAGGUUGGUGCCUCCUGCCCUGGACACCGGGGUGGUGGUUGCUCCGGGCGGGUUGGCAGUACUUCCCUGCCCCGGUGCCUGGUGUGGGGUGCUUGGUCAGUGCUCCUGCCCUGUUUUUCCAGCAUCCUGGAGCCUGUUACGCUUUUUCCUCUCUGGAAUAAGAAGAGGAGCCUGGCCGUAGUGCGGUCCGGGAUGGUGGAGGGAGCAAGGCUGCCCAGGGCAGUGGGGGAGUCACCAUUCCUGGGGGGGUUUAACAGACGCAGAGAUGAGGUUUUCAGGGACAUGGGUUAGUGCUAGAGUUAGGUUGUGCUUGGGCUCUAUGAUCUUGAGGGUCUCUUCCAACCAAAAUGAUUCUACGACAAGGUGCAAGAUCAGAAGAGGGAAUAGUUGAGGGAAACCCCUCUCUCUGCUUGGAAGAGUCUGAAACCUGAAGGAUCCAGGGCAGAGAAAAUAAAGGCUGAUGGUUUUGCCUGGGGCUGAACCCUGAGCUGAGGGCAGGGGGAACAAAGCUGUGCAGACCUGGGGGAGGGACCGGCCUGGGGCAUGUCCCCUGCAGCCACAAGUGAUGUUCCCUCCAUCCCUUGGUGGGCUCCCCAGGUGCUGCUCCCCCGCCGGGCUCAUCCUGAGGAACCCGCAGCCCCGGGCACUGGGGAGCAGCGUGAUGUCCCCCCCAGUGAGCUGUGUGUGUCCCCGCCGGGCCCAGCAGUGUCCCCAGGGGCUGCCCUGCCUGCAUCACCACUCCAGGUGGCCUUGUUUUGCUCGGCACAGGCGGAUGGGAGCCACCAUCUUCCAAGCGAAGAGCAUUUUUAAUCUCCUGCUCCCGCUCUGUGCAAUUAACUUGAUUCCCUCCCCUCGUUUCCUGCAGAGGUUUAAUUAAAAUGCAUUGUUCGCCUCGCCAAUUAUUUGCUCUGUCCCCCGGAUAACCUCUGUGCAGCGGCUGGGUUGUUGGGGCUUUUUUUUUCCCUCCUUUUUUUUAUCUUUUUUUUUUUUCUCUCUCUCUCUUUUUCUUUCUUCUUCUUUUCUCCCCUUUCUCCUUCCCCCCUCUUUCUCCUUUCUUUCUCCUUUUGUUUUCUGUCUUUUUUGUGUCGUUUUUUCUUUUCGUUUUCUGACUUUUUUCUGCCUUUUUUUUGUCUCUUUUUUAUUUUUUUUUCCUUUUUUUUUUUUUUGUUUCCCUCCCCCUUCUUUCUUUCUUCGUGUUUUUUUUUUUUGUUUGUUUUUUUUCCUCUUUUCUCUUCUUGUUAUUGAGGUUUCUCUCUGCUCCCCCCUCGGCAGCUCCUGCAGCCUUUACCUGCCCCCGGGGAGGCAGUGGGUAGGGGGUUGUCUAUGAAGCCCGGCAGCCGUGCAUGUAAGCAGGGGGCCGCAGCAUCCCCGCCGUGCCGGGGGGGCACACGGAGCUUCGUGCCCACGAGCAGCUGAAACAACAAGACCUUGUUGACUCGCCUUUGAGUUCCCCAGCGCUCGGCAGCUGCUGCUCCAGCAGGUGAUAAUUGAAACCGGGAGUGAACCUGGAUGGCGUCAGGGGUUGAGAUGUAGUUCAGACUUCAUCUUCCCCCUCCUCCUCCUCUCCCUGUCACUGGGGGCUUUGUAGGGGACAUGGGUGGGUGACACUCAGCUCUGGUCCCCAAGGAGAAGGGUGGUGGGACAGGGAGCCCGAGUGGCUGCAGCACCACAAGGUCACACCUCAAGGAGCCGUUUUGGAGAAGGGGUGUUCAGCGCUUUCUAAAAAUAACCCCGGCGCAGGACCGAAAUAACAAGCUGCUCUCCACCGGCGCUGGGCUUGAACCCGUGCCAAGGCAGCUGCUGCGGGGCUGGCGGCGGCCCCUCAGCGUGCCGAGCAGCUGGCUGUGGCGGGGGGCAGUCUGCCAGUAGCCCCCCAACCACCCAGCACUGGACAAAGGCCAGAGGGGGGGCGAGCAUCGGAUGCAGGAUGGCUUGGAGAGAUGCUGAUGCUUAGCUCUAAAAUGCAGGAUAGGAUGCUGGGGGAAGGCAGGCGUCUUACUCUUGCAAAGGUCCCUUGGAAAGUGGGGGGUUGAUUCCCUCCAGAGGAGCUGGGAUUUGGAAGGGGGACACAGCUAUGUGGUUCCCCCUUUCCAGACAGGUCUUGUUUGGAGAGCAGGACCCAUGGUUUGACUCAUGCUUUUUCAGGCUAGAUACAAGGAAGGAAUUGUUGCCCCUGAGGAUUGGGCAGGUUGGCCAGAGAGGUGGUGGAUGAGACAUCCCAGACCAGGCUGGACAGGGCUCUGAGCAACCUGAGCUGGUGAAGAUGUUCUUGCUUAUGGCAGGGGGGGUGCUGGGGGAGCUAGGAAGGUUUCUUCAACCCAAACUGUUCUGUGAUACUAUGAUUUGUCUGGGUCUGUUGGAAGAUGCUAAACUCUCAGGGUGUCUCUUGGUUGUUAGUGCCUUUUCCUCCUGCAAUGUCACACUGACAUGUCCCCAAAGUCUCCUCUGCCCCUCUCCCAGCAGUGUUUCCCCUCUCGCCUUUCACAGAUCCUGUUCCAAUUCUUGGUGUUCCUUGCAGGUUCUCUGCCAAAUGCCAUCUUCAUGUUGGUCCCAUGGACUGAGAUUUACUGGCUCAUUGAUUUCAGGGAUUUGGUCUGGGCUCAGGGUGUGUUUCAUCAGGCUCUGUACAGCUCCAGGCUGCAAACUCUGUCCCUAUCCCCUCUGGGGACUCGCUGGCCUGGCAUCCUGGGGAGAUAUUUGGGAUUGUCUCCCAUGUGAAAUCCUAGGGGAUGGUGUUUGUUGCAUGCUGGGGUGCUGGGACAUCCAUUACUGGCUGUGAGGGGGAUGCUCCUGCAUCUCCUUGGGUGUGGGAGGGGAUGGGGAAAGGCAGAGGAUGUCCCCAAAUCUGUCCCCACCAUGAAGCACAUCAGCAUCACCCCCAGCCUCGUUCCGGCUGGUGCUGCCCCACUGCAUAGUGAUGGGCAAAACCUUUCUCUGCUUUGAUUUCCGGCUCAGGACCCAUUGUCAUCAUCCAUGGGCCAGGAGAAGCCAGAAUGACGUGAGUGGGUGAUGCCAUCAGCUCUUGGGUGCUUUGGGAGCCCCCCCCAGCACAUAAAUGCAACACUCCUAUAAGGACAUACACUUCGAGAAAGGCACAGGACCCAUUUCCUUGCUGAAAACAGGAUUGGACCCUCUGCUUGAGGUUGCGGUGUGGCCGCUGGAGCUGAUUACUGCUCGGAGACGAGUCUUGGCCCUGGGGAUAGUUCUGGGAAAUCAGCGCCGGUUCAGUGCUUCAUGCUGAGACCGAGAGAUUAACUUCAGCUUCGCGCUCUGCCGACGGCCGGCACGGUGCUCAGGGAUGGAGCAAAUUGAACCCAGCGUGGCGUUUCCUCAGCAAGAGACCUUCCCCCUUCCAGCUGUCCUCAGUGCCGGCAAGCGGGGCCAAAUCCAGACUUGCCAGAGACUGGACCCACAGCCACAGCGGCUCAUGGUCCUGCUGCUCCUGGAGGUGAUGUGGAGCUGUGGCUGUCAUGGUAAUUCAAUAAGUAUCUCCUGUGGCCAGCUGGAAGGUUUUUCUUUGCACUUGCAAUUGCCUCUUCCAUAGCAUCGUGCCCCCACGCUGUGCUCACUGGGCAGUGCUGAACGCUGGAUGAAAAUUUGGUGUAGGUGAACCCCUGGCCCAGGGGUUGGGGAUGUGCAAUGGGGAGGAUGGGAGCGAGAAAAUGGGAAUAAACCCAUCAUGGUGCCAGGAUGGUGAGGAGAGCAGGCUUAGCGAGGAUGCUGGUGGGAGGAAGGCCAGGCUGUGUUUUCAUGCUCCUUGGGGUGAUUUUUGAGAGCUAAUGCUGCUCUCUAUACUGGAGAACAGGAGCUGAGGGGAGGUCUUCUGAUUUCUGAACUACCUGAAAGGAGCUUGGAGCCAGGGGUGUCAGGCUCUGCUCCCAAGGAACAAGCACCAGGACCAGAGGAAACAGCCUCAGGUUGCGCCAGGGGAGGUUGAGGUUGGAUCUUGGGAACAAUUUCCUCCCAGAAAGGGCUGUCGGUCAUUGGAACAGGCUGCCCAGGGCAGUGGUGGAGUCACCAUCCCUGGAGGGGUUGAACAGAUGCAGCGAUGAGGUUCUUGGGGACAUGGGGUAGUACCAGGGCUGGAGUAACGAUUGGACUCAAUGAGCUUGAAGGUCUUUUCCAACCUAAAUGAUUUUGAUUCUUCCCGCAGGUGGUGGGUUUUGCUGGUAUCUACAAGAGGUUGAUGGGAAACAGGAUUCAGCUGUUCAUGGACCUCUGAUCCUUGACGUGUCAACCCAGUGACCGGGUUGAACGUCAAAGAGCCAUCCCUGAUAGAUGUAGGUUGAAAUUACUCUUAAAGGGUGCAGGUACGAGCUGUUCUUGGGGCUGCAGUAUGAGCAAACAUCCCUCCUGAGGCAUUUGAGCCCAGCAGUGCUGAGCUCCCCUCUUCUCCCACCCACCUUUCCAAGUCCACUGAUGAAACUUGGAGCAGUUUCCAGUCUAAUUCCAGCCCAAGAGUGGAAAUCCCCAGAUCAAAGCCUGGCUUAGAGUUCAGCCUUGGGAUCUCCCCAGCUAGACUUACAGGGCUGAUUUUUGGGGAGAGAAGGGCUCAAGCUGUUGGCAUUGAAAUUGGACCAAGGACACAUGUGUGGUCCUUGUGGUCAUCCAUGGUCCGGUGAGGACAUGGCUGUCCCUGCUCCACCCAGCCAAGCAGCAGAUGGUCUCUCCUGGGGCAGUGUGUGCUUCUGAGUGCCUCUCAUUUUAUUUUUUACCUUUUUUAGGCUUAAAAUCCAUACACCUGACUGUUACUGCCUUUGUAUGUAUGUGUUUCAUAAUUGAAAACUCUCAGUUGUGCAUUUCUCCCAUGCAAAGUGGAGGCUUCAAAGCAGCAGGUGGAAAUCGAGCCAAUAUUUCUGCUGCCGAAGUGAAAAUUUGAAUGAAAACUUAAUUUUUUCUUCUGCAAAACGGGGAACAAGCUUCCUGGGGCCCCAGCUGAAAGCCCGCGGUGACCUUGCAUGGCAGGGGCUGUGGAGGCAAGAACCUGGAUCUGCCCCAGGUAUGUAGAGAUGUGGGGGAUGCGGUGAAGGAGAAGAUCUUUCUGGAGCACUUCUUCCCCAAGGAGUUUCAGGUAGUGUAUAAUGCAACGUGAUUUCCUGAUGAGUUUUUGGGUUGGGAGAGAGGGAGUGAAAUCAUAGAAUCGUUUCGGUUGGAGAAGACCCUCAAGAUCAUCAAGCUCAACCAUUAACACAGCUCUGGCACUAACCCAUGUCCCUGAGAACCUAUAACAACAACUCUGGAGCUGCUGGCUGUGCGAAGGGGGUGUUGCCCCUGAGGGGCCGGGGGCUUUUGGGGGCGCAUGGCCCUGUGGGAGCAUUUUCUCGCAUCCCACAUGGAUUAGAUUUUGCAGCCCAUGGAUUCCUUUCUGCUGAGCAAAGCCCAUGGAGCUGCCGGCGCGAAGGAGCCGCACAGCCGCAGCGGGCAGGCUCCUCUCGUUAUUGUUUUUGUUUAUUUUUAAUUGCAAGACAAAAGGCCGUGUGCUGGAGGGAGCCUGCCUUUCCCAGAACGACUUUAUCUCACAUCUUCAUGGGAAGAGGAGAAGGAUGUGAAGGGAGCAGGGCCAUCCCUGGGGGUCACCCAUCACCACCCAUCCCCGGGGCCACCGUCCCUUGUCCCCACGGGGGGACAAGACCCCACCGAGCACCAGCUGCCCCUUUCCUGGAGAACCGGCUUGAGACGGGGGCGAAGGGGGAGCAGCUGCGGGGAUAUGCCACAGGCAGGUGUGCCUAUCACUUGUGCUCUCCUGAGCUUUAUUUCUUUCUUUUUUUUUUCUUUUUUUUUUUUUUUUUAAAUUAAUCCCCUCAAAACAAAGAAAAACAAGGGCAGCUGCACCCAGCAGAGCAUCCCCCAGCAGACUGCGGCCGCCGGGUCUCGGCUUUUUGCAGGUGAUUCCUGCCCCAGCCCUUGGCCAUAGUGAGCCCUCUUGCCAACCGGGGGGUUUCCAUGAGGAUCGGGGCAUUUUGCUGGAUCAGGGAUGUUUUCGGGAGCAGGCACCGAGCCGAGGAAAGCAGCUCACCCCACAGCGCCCGGGGCCGCCCAGCGAAGGGCUGGCUAUUUAUGGGCUGAAAAAGGAAAAUUGUCCAACUGCCGAAAUUGGCAGCGAAUCCCAUGACUGUAAUACACAGCUUCCCGGCCAAGGUCCCUGGCUAUUUUCUCUCUGUUUUGGCUUGGAGAGGAAGAUUUAUUUUGUUUGCUGCUUGAAAGAUUUUUCCCCUAUUUAUUUUUUUCCUCUUCCUUGGGGGUAUUUAAAGACAACAAACCCCCCCAAGCCCAAGCUGGGUUUGCUGUUCUCCUGUGUAUCUCUGGGUCCAUGGAGAUGUCAGUGGCACUUGAAGUGGAGCCUGUUGGGGUUAAUUCAAAGCCCAUCCCUUACAGACCUGCAGGGCAUUUGUACCUUCCAAAUGAGAUUUGAUUAAAAAAAAAAAAAAAAAAAAGAAAAGAAAAAAUAAAGAAAAAAUAAAAAAUAUCAGAAAAAUCAAAAAACAAGCAGAAAAAAACCCCACAGGUCCCUAGGAAGAGUUUUCCUGGCUGUGGGACUGACUGAUGGGGCAGGAGGAUGGAUUUUACCUUACACCAAACCCUCGAGGUGCUGCAAGGACAGAUUCUUGCCGGGUGAGCAUGAGAGUGAUCAUGGCAGGGAUGGGCCAAAAGCACUGGGGAAAACCUGUAAAGUGAAUGGCUGAUUUCAUUACACCCUAUUGCUUUACUGCCUGGAUAUCAGUGUCACAUCCCUUCGAAGUGGCUCUCUGGGAAACCUUGUACCCCUGCAAGGUUUCCAUCCCACCUUUGCACAACUGGGAGCAGCACUAACAUGGUUUGGGGGCAGCCAUGCUGUGGGGUGAUGAGAUUUUGGGCUGGUGCACAAAAGCUGUUGCCUAUGGCAGAGGGGACCCCCAGGAGGGAUCCCAUAGGAUUUUCCAUGGGAUUUCUUUCUUUUUUUUUGAUUUCUUUAUUUUUUUUUCCAAUGGAUUUCUUCCAUUUAUUUUCCUACAGGAUCCAAGCUGGCUGUUUUUCAUCAUGCUGAUCAUGGACAUCUUCCAGCCUUCUUCCCCACCGAUGAACAGUGUUUGCCCAUCGAUUCCCCAGCUCCAGGGCUGCACCGAAUAGCACGGAUGUCGGAGCUGGUUCAUCCUUGAUCUAAGAUGGGUCAGUCCCGGUUGCAGGUGAAGGAGGGGGCAGGAUGGGGCAGCUGGGGGUCAGCAGCAUUUCCACAGGGGUAAAGAGAACCCUGCGGACCGGACACAAUGGGGUGCAUCAGCACAACCCUCAUCUGGUGUUUCUGCAGACGCUGGAAGUCAACUGGGACACCCAGCCCCACUGAGUGGCUGCGCUCCCCAUGCUGGGAAUGGGGCUGGGCUGGAGCUGUGCAGAGCACAUGUAACAAGGGAGCCAGGUCUCAGCACAGCGAUGGGAGAGUGUUUUGCUGAGCUGGCUGUGCUCAAAGCUGUGUUGUUGUCUCUGCUGCAAGCGGAUACUGUGGAUUUAUACAGGCAGCUUGUCCCUCAGCACCCUAAAGGCGCAUCUGCAGGCCCCAGAACUGCAGCACGGAGAAGUGGAUGGAUCUUAGAAUCGUGAAAUCAUAGAAGAGUUUGAGUUGGAAGGGACCUUUGAAGCUCAUCCAGUGCCACCCCUGCCAUGAGCAGGGACAUCUUCACCAGCUCAGGUUGCUCAGAGCCCCGUCCAGCCUGGCCUGGGAUGUCUCCAGGGAUGGUUCAUCCACCACCUCUCCGGCCAACCUGGGCCAGGCUCUCACCACCCUCAGUGUAAAAAAUUUGGAGGGAUGGCAAACCAGCGACCCAGCCAUGAAGACAGCAGGGUGAGAGCUGGGGCUCAGGUGAACCCUUGCUGCAGCACCAUCCUGCACCCCCCACAGCCCCUGUAUCCAUCUGACACAGGGGCACUGGAGGUUUUUGUGAGGUGAACACCCGCACCCCAGCCUUGGCUGCAGGAUCAACCCUUCCUGGUGAAGGUUUUGCAGCUCCCGGGAGCCGACGCUGACACCAAGCGGGUUUGAGAGCAGGAGGCUGGCGAGGGCUCGCCUUGGCAGAGCGGAGAGGGGAACAGCUUGCGGCAGCCUUGCUCCCCCCUGAACGCCUGCUGGGGUGCGUUCCCUAACCUUUCCUGCCUCCGUUCCACUCCUGUCUUUCUCUCUCUCUCUCCUUUUUUUUCUUUUUUUUUUUUUUCCUUUCCCCUAACUGUAAAUGCGCCAUAAAAAUGGAUCAAAUUGCUUAAA